ACAGGGGUGCAGGCAGCGAAAUGCACAAACGUUUGGGCUUAGGGCCAAACUUCCAAGCCAUAAUCCAUUCCCUCCAUUCUUUGACCUACGUGACUGAAGCCAGAAAAUCAUCUUUCUUCAACGAAGCCAAACACGAAUAGAGAACUCGUCGUUGUGUCGUAUUUUCAUCUUCAACGCUCGCCUUCAUGCUUGUCCAAGAAACACGCCAACUUCACCAUGGUAUAUGUUUUUCCUUUCAACCACCGAUCCAAUAGUUCCACGACUUGAUGCUUAACAAAAUCCGCGCGUAACCAGAUGAGGAAAGUAAAUAUUAUGGAAGAUGGAUCAUGAACUCACCAGAUUCGAUUGCUCCAAUCACAAGCAGGUAUGCACCGUUGCUGAAAUCGCUUCUCCUCCUCUUCCUAUGAUCGUUGCGAACUCAAAGAAUGGAUGUGUGCUUCUGAGUAGUAAAUAGAGCUUUGAAUUUGGUGCGCUCUUGCGUUUGGUUGCUGCGUGUGAUGCUCUUUUUCUCUUGAUAUUGUUGAGCUUCUUCUUCCCCUUCUUCUAGAUGUAACCUAUGUUUUUGUUGGUUUUUGCCGAGAUGAAAUGGAGAAUGUGAAUAGAGAAAGUACUCAUAUCCCAGAGUGAAACUCAAGCUACAGAACUGAUCCCUCACUUGAAGAGAGGUGAGUCUUAUUUAUAGAGUCAUUCCUCUCUCAAAUCUAUUAGAAAUUCAGGUUAAAUGACAACCAAAUCCAAUCCAAACUACAUUGAAAUGUGAGCUUCAAAAUUGUUAAGUUAGUUGCGUUUGGAUUGAAUAUAUGUUAAAUUUGUUAGUUGAGUUUCUGUUAGAACGAAAUUUUGUUAUCCAAAUCUUAUGUUAAGUGAAUGAUUAUAGAAGUCAGUUGUGUUAGUAAUGUUAGAGGGAACAUUAAUUAGUUAUAAGAUGUGUGAGGUUGGAAUGAACAAUACUAUUAGUGUGAGUCAAUUUCCUGUUGAAUGACAAUUGUUAUUAAAAAUUUCCUUUCCUCAAAUUGUUUUGAAUAACACAGUUAAAGUUUGGUAUACUAUCUCCCCGCUAGAGGAUUCUGCAAUACUCUGGGUGUAAACUUCUGCCUUAUAAAGGCCGUGCAAUUUGGAAAGUGUUUUGAAUAAUCGGCUAUGCGUUUUAUAGGUCUUAAAAUUGAGCUGGAUCUUAUGAAGCUUGGAACUGGAUUUCGGGUCAUUGUAUUUUGGGUUUGAAAAUAUUGCAAAUGGAUUUUGGUUUUGCAGAUUGAACAUCAAGUUUGGCCAUGAGUAUGGAGUUAUGCAUAUAUAUGGUACUUGAAGCACAUUACCAAUGGGAAUUAUGGAUGUGAACAAAUUGAUAGAUUAGGAUUAGUUUUUUUUGUUGCUUAUUUUGAAAACUUGAAAUGUGGUAAUGUAUUAGAAUGAAUUUGGUUGUAAUUUGGAUGUACGUUUAAAUUGAAAUUUCAUUGAUUUUGAAGAAUGGAAUUUGAAUGGGAUGUAUGGAUAAUUCAUGGAAAUGUAUGAAACUUGAAUGUUUGAAAUUGAAAUUUGUAUGAAACUUGAAUAUUUGGAAA